rnacentral:rRNA from 1 species
GUCCUGGCCCUAAACGGUGCAUGUUUGCUGUAAGAGGAAUCGACCCCUUUUGUGGCGAAGCUAACGCGUUAAACAUGCCGCCUGGGAAGUACGGCCGCAAGGUUAAAACUCAAAGAAAUUGACGGGGGCCUGCACAAGCGGUGGAGUAUGUGGCUUAAUUCGAUGCAACGCGAAGAACCUUACCUGGCCUUGACAUGCAUCUAGUAGAAGGGUGAAAGCCUGACGAGGUAGCAAUACCAGGAUGCACAGGUGCUGCAUGGCUGUCGU